AUUGAACGCUGGCGGCAGGCCUAACACAUGCAAGUCGAACGAGUGGCGGACGGGUGAGUAAUACCUGGGAAACUGCCCGAUGGAGGGGGAUAACUACUGGAAACGGUAGCUACUACCGCAUACCAUCGGAUUUGCCCAGAUGGGAUUAGCUGGUAGGUGGGGUAACGGCUAACCUAGGAGACGAUCCCUAGCUGGUCUGCGGGGAUGACCAGCAAAACAGGAACUGAGAAACGGCCCAGACUCCUAGGGAAGGCAGCAGUGGGGAAUAUUGCAAAAUGGGCGAAAGCCGGAUGCAGCAAGGCGGCGUGUAUGAAGAAGGCCUUUGGGUGGUAAAGUACUUUCAGCGAGGAGGCGUUACUCGCAGAAGAAGCACCGGCUAACUCCGUGCCAGCAGCCGCGGUAAUAC
rnacentral:rRNA from 1 species